UUCCAUCGUCCCUGACCGUUGGCCAUGCUGGCUGGCAUUGAUGGAAGUUGUAGUCCAGCAACUUCCAGAGGGCAUAACUCCCCCACCCCUGGUGCAGAAUAUAAAAGCCUAUAUGGGUAGGGAGUGGGAGACUUAUGAGAGAGGAGAGAUUAUAUCUGUGGUGCAGCUCACUUAUCUAGUUCUUUCACUUGAAAGCCUCUUCUCUGCUCCCUUUGCUCCAGAAGCAUGUUGUCAUUUCCCAAAAAUUCCAAUUGCUUCAUCUCUAGUUGCAAGGUUCAGCACUACUGGUAGGUGAAUGACCUGUUGGUGAAAAAUAAGGGCACCCUUUCCCACCAGCCCACGUCACAAAACAAUCAGUCGGCCUCUCCAUUUCAUUUAUGGCACAAUUCCCAGCCAAACCACUUAGGCACUUUGUUAUAAAUACAUCUGCAUUAAUUUUUACUGGUGAGCUGUUUGCUGGUUCUCUUUCAGAGGUCUCCAUAGGCAUAUCCAUAUUGGAUAGCAAGGUUUUGGUUCUGGGGGACAGAGUUUUGCCUUGGGUUACAACUUUUUUUUUAACCUAGUGUUCACAUGAAUCAAAUUCCAAGGUCUUGUGGUGUGAUUAGCAUGGGAUGUGGUUAAGGCAGUGGGGUGAGACUCCCAGCCUUGACUGACAGCACUCAUAGCUUUGGAAAAUAAACCUUCCACACCUGCACCUGUUUGCCAUUCUGCCCCUUAUUAUCUAUUUGCUUUGAGUUCCUCUGGGUAGAGCAUGUAUUUUACCCUGUACUUUCAACCCUGUUUGCCGCAACAGAGCUUCUGGUUGUUACGUGAAAACAAUUCCACCCAAAGUUCCUGCUGGAGGCCCAUGGUGAUAUUUAUAGCAUCCAUAGUGAAUUCCAUAGGAUCAAGAGAUCAGGUCAAGUGAAUGCUUCAGCCCUCAAGCCUUACAGACCACAGCCAAACCAGUCAUGCAGCAGUUGUCUGUCUGCAUCUGGCAACAGUUGCAGGAGAGACUGUCAGAGGACUUUGUUGCAUAUAUUUGUAGAGCUAUGGUUUUAAAAGGUAAAGGACCCCUGGAUGGUUAAAUCCAAUCAAAGGCGACCAUGGGGUGCAGCACUCAUCUUGCUUUCAGGCCGAGGGAGCCGGCGUUUGUCCACAGUCAUGUGGCCAGCAUGACUAAACCGCUUCUGGUGCAACAGGACACUGUGAUGAGUGUGAGAGUGCAUGGAAAAGCUGUUUACCUUCCCACUGCAGCGGUACCUAUUUAUCUACUUGCACUGGUGUGCUUUCGAACGACUAGGUUGGCAGAAGCUAGGACACAGCAAUGGGAGCUCACCAGGGAGCUUACCACCGUUGAGCGAAUUCAAACAGCCAACCUUCCAACUGGCAAGCCCAAGAGGCUCAGUGGUUUAGACCACAGUGUCACCUGCAUCCCUAAGAAUCCUACCAUCCUAGUAUCUAAUAAUUAUUAUUUUUAAGGUGGCUUAUUUCUUAUACUCCCAUCUUGAUGCAAAGUAUUAUCCCUCUGUAGAACUAAAACAACAACCCACAAAUCUCAGGUUGGAAUUAAAAGAAUACUAAGACAGAGGCAUUUGUGGGGAGAGAUAAGAGCUGAAUCCAACUUUCUGGAUCUAGCUGUUUGUUCAGUGGCUACGCCAAUGAGACACCAUACUUGCACUAGAAUAAAGACUUUUCUGAUGUGGCAAGUAGGGAGUUUUUUAGCCGUCUUCUAACAAGAACAGACAUUUCCUUAAUCUUCUGCCAUUCCAGUUCACACUUAGUGAAUAGCCUUCUCAGUGCAGAUGUGGAGCUGGUGGGUGCAGUGACAGAGAGCAGUUCAGCUGUAGAAAGAAGUUAUUCCAUCUACUUUUAUUCCCCUCCCUCUCUAGGUAGACCUUCUGAAUCACCUUCUAGAAACACUGGAUGUUCCUGCUGAAUGAAGACCAGAGAGGACGGUUGAAAUUAUUUGGGCACUACAGCAGCCCAGAGGGCACCCCAAAGAAAGCAAACUGAUAAAGAGUUAAAAUGAAUCCCCCUUGUCUUGGGUGAGGUGAGAAGGUGGUUCUCUUGUUUCCGCAUAGGAAUUCGGAGAGAGGGAAAGAAUGUGCGAAGAGCCUCCUGAGGCACUGGGCAUGGCCCCUGUCCAAGGCUCUUUUCACAUUGUGCUACUGUCUGAGCCCAACGUAAGCAGUGCAAUGUAAAAAGGGCAUUGGGUGGGUGGCCACAGCAGCAUGAAGCCUCUAUACGUCCAUUACUGGCAAUAUUCAGGGGAUAGGCAUGGAGCCUUGCUAUGUGGGGCAAAAGGAAGGUGUAACUGAGAAAACGGAUAGUGCCCAGCAGCAGCAAAACAUAGCUCCUGUGACAGCUGAAGUGCUCCCAUCCACCCCAAAUAUAUAUGGGGCUGUUCAGCAUCAGCUGUUCACAGCCAACAUGGUUUGGCAUCCGAGUGGAAGCUGAAGGGUUGUUGCUUUCUUGCAAAUCACCUUUGACUGUUCUCUUUCCGAGGCGUUACAGCAGCCUAUUGCCUAAUAAAUGUUACCGCUUCUUUAA